UGGCCUGCCUGCUGUAUUACUCCCUCUAUCCAUCCAUCCGUCUAUUCCUCCUCCACCUCUUCCUCGUUGGUAUGUCGGCUAAAGGACGGCCCCCGUGCUCUGACACACUCACAUUACGCGCAGACACACACCUCCGCGAUGUGUCACUACCCAUUCCACCUGCCUCUUCCUGUCAUUCCCCGCUCUCUGUUCCAUCUACCUACGUCUGCUCUUUUUCCCUCCUUUUUUUGUUCUCUCUUUCUGUCCACCCCUCCUUGUCCUCAACCCAACCCCCUACGCUGUGUGUCACCUCCGCUGGGAAGAAAGAAAAAAUGCUCCGGCCGACGAAAUUGACAAGACAAAAGGAAAAAGGAGAAAAGAGUCAAAAAGGAGAAGACCGCAAAAGCUGGAGUGUGUUUGGAGCGCAGCGAUGCCUCCAUCCACCGUGAGCACGACUCUUCUUUGAUGGAAUAUCCCGGACAGAGGAGGGCAGAAGGAGGGAGAAGAAGGUGAAGAAAAAGUGCUGAAGAGGACUGAAAGAAGAAGAAAAGGACUGAGAAAGAAAGAAGAAAGGAAGGAAGGAAGGAAGGAAGGAAGGAAGGACAGCGCUCGCCUCAGGAGGCUCCAUCCAGUCCAGUCUCAUUGUCCUCACACAUACCUCGCCUCUGAGCGUGAGCGUGCGCACGCAUGUGUGCAUGUGUCUGUGUGAGGACCCGGGUGCAGCCCCUCAUUUCCACACCACAGCGCGGCGGAGCACCGGAUUCCACUCUGAGGUUUACGUGGAUGGGCUGCGUCAGAUAGGCCAUGCCCUUCACCUGUGCCUGCUUCUGUGGUCUGAACGGCUUCUGCGGGAGACGGAAGAAGAAGAAAAAGGAUCAAGUGGAGGAGGAAGACAAGGGUGAGGAAGUUGGACGAUGGAGGGAUCAGGAGACAGAGGUGUGACCGCGGCGCAGUCAGCUGCGCUCUCCAUCCCUUUACGAGGGUUUUAUCCUUUAAAAAACUGGAAUGUACGGCUGCUCCGUACAGACUGUGUGAUGUUAUGCAUGGGGGUACUCCAACAGGGAUGUGGGGAAGGGGGCUUCAGCAGGCACAGGCUUUUAUUGAAAUUACAUUUUGAACCAGACACUGCAUCUCUUUCGUAAGUGUCUGUGACUUCAGGUUCUACGUAUUUUCUACUUUUUAAGCUGCAUAAACUCAACAACUGCAAUGCUGCCUUGAGCCACAUUCCUCAAAAUAAAUCAGAUUGAUGGAAAUAAAAGCCUGUGAACUCUGCGCUCAUCCCCAUUAACCAUCCUUGCUGCAUUUUAAUUUUCCCUUGGCAGCUGACAGAGAACUUUGCUUCUGCUAAUGUGAUUCCAAAAAAAAACAGCAUUUUUAUCAGUGUGAUUUAUUUCUUGCCAUAGCUGGUGUACUGUAUGAAUUGUAAAGAGAUGGCGGGGCCCUUGAAAUCCAUUAUUUCUCCCAGUCACACUUUCAUCUCUCCCUUCUCCUCCUUAAUCGCGGCUCCACGGAGGCUGAAUGGACGGCGCUCUGCACCUCCUCGCCUACCUGCUUAUGUCAGAUCAACUUAGUACAAACUUCAGCCAAGUGAGAAAGUGCGCAGUAAUUUCCAAAGUCACCCAUGGAGGGCUGGAGCCUAUCUCGGUUUUCACGCUGAGCUGGGCCCAAUCUAAAGCAGAGCAGCUGUCCAAUCAGCAGCUUAGCUGAAGUGUGAAGAUAGGAGUCAAGGGUCAGAAUGAGCAACAGGGUUUGCAAGAAUUCCCUCUUUUGAUGCCGUAGCAUCUCUGUCUCAUUAAUAGCCAGACAAGUAAUUACAAACACACACACACACACACACCGAUGCAGACCCAUCCAUUAAUGUCCCCCAUGGGGAGUGGAGUGCCUGUCCGUAAAUGCCACUGCGGUGUGCUUCCAGCUGUCACCUGUGUGAGUGUAUGACUCUGAGUGUGUGUGUCUGUGUGCUUUUGUUUCUUCUUGGCUGCAACAAUAGAAUUUCAAACCUGAAACAAGUGGUUAAGAGAUCCCUUCAGCUGCUAUAAAACUGCGUUUUCAGAAUGCACAUCGAGACACAAAGACCCAAACAGACACACACACACUCACGCACACACAUAGGUCUCAUUAGAGUAUGUGAUUAUGCAUUGCACGUCCAGUCAGGCAGUGGAGAUGUAAUUAACCUUUUCCAGCAGGAAACAGAUGCCUGGAUGUCACACGCAAACACACAGUCACACACACACACACAAACACACACGCACACACACACACACACACACACACACACACACACGCACACACACACACACACACACACACACACACACACACAGACAGACACACACACGUCUGCUGUCAGGGAAACAAAGCCAACGUCAUGGUGUCACGGAAACAAAGCCCCAAAAGCGCCGCCUGGCACUCUGUGAUAAUCCCCUCACGCGUAUUUACAUUCAGCGCUUAGUAUACGCCUCGGUGCCGCCGUCUCCACCCCCCAGCCGCACACCAACACCACCCUCCGCCUCCACCCAUCCGUCCUCUCUCUCCUCUGCUUCCACCUUUUGGACUUCCACCACAUUCCCCUUUUCCUUCCGCUAUCUCUUCCUUCUCUUCUCCUCCAUCUUUUCCCUCUCUCCAAAAACUCUCUCCUUUGUGGGUUUCAUCUGGUUAUCACCAGUGGACAGUUACAUGGCAUCUCCGACAGAUUAGUGGGAGAUUCUCUCUUUCUCUGACUCUGAAUAUCAGGGAUUUCUUCAGGCGGGCAAAAAGCUGCUUUACGACAGAUUAAUGGACGGCUCUGAUUGUGUCUGUUGGUGUGUGUCUGUGCCUUCAUGAAACAGAUCGUCUGUUUACUCGUACUCCCGCUUACACGAGGCGAAAUGAGACAAAGCUAAAGCCAUUUCACAGUGUAGAGCACCUAUUAUUAUUCACUGUGUUACGACGCAGGCCUAAUGAGAAAUAGAGAGAGGGAAUGAGAAGAGGGGUUGAAGGGGGAUUGGGGAGGAGGAGAGAAAAAGACGGUAAUGAGACUGAGAGUUGGAUACGGAAGAUGGGGGCUAAUGCUAGACAGAGCAUUCAUGCUAAUUGGCUACAGUGGAUAACUUUCUGAGGUGGGGGAUGAGUGUGUGUGUGUGUUGGUGGGGUGGGGGGAGCGGGGAGGGAGGGUAGAAAAGAAAAAAAGAACAGCCUGAUCUGUCGGAGUUACACUCGUUUAGCGCUCCCUCCAUUUCACCUAUUUAAUGAGAGAAAUAUUUGUUCCAGUAGACUUGAAAUUGGUAACGAUUUGUUGCUCACACACACACACACACACACACACACACCACACACUUGGAGGUGGUGGGGAUGGUGUUGGGGGGCGGGGGGUUGGAAGGAGGAUGGUCUUGGCGAGGGAAGGUGUACGUUUUCCCUCAAGCGCCACAAAACCAGUACUUUAUGGAUCAUGGCAAUUUUCAGGGAUUGUGACUCAAGGACAAACAUCUAAAAAUAGAGGGGUGGUGCACGACUCCUGCGACAGCGGGUAGGGGAGGCGGGAGGAUGUGGAGGCGGGAGGAGGUGGAGGCGGCGAAAACGAGUCCUGUCGCAUUAGAUUUGGGUCAGAAACGAGGGGUGAGCCGAUGAAGCGGAGAGUGUUACAGACGGCGGGGAGAUUCAUCACUCGCUGCUCCCCAUACCUCUCCUCUCUCGCUCGUCUCCCCCCCCCCCCCCCCCCACACACACACACCUCUCUAACAAAGAUGGUAAACCGCUGGAAAGACAAAGAAGUAGUAGCAGGGAAGAAAAAGGAGGGAGACGUAACUGUGUGUUGUGAGAGAAAGAGAGACUGAACCACAGCUAGCUAAUAUUAUAAUAUUAAUAUGCUCUAUCCCAGGCUCUUUACUGUAUGAUGAGUGCAUUCAUAAUUAAUACAAUGACAGAUCCCAGUAGUAAACAUAUUGUGUGUUCCCAGUUUAAAGGAACUUUGACAUUUACAGAAACACGCUGUUGUACUCUCAUGUCUGUGUGUUUAGCAUGAAGCUGCAGGGAAGUGGGAAUCAAUUAGCUUAGCAUAAUGACUGGAUGCAAAGAAAGCAAAUAAGCAUUUUUUCAGUACUAAUUCAAACUAUUCCUUUAAUACAGUGGGUAGUGUGUUGGUUAUCUCUGUCACUGCCCGAUGUAAGUCAAAUGCCGAUUUAAACGGUUUACGACAUAACGUGUCACAUGGAAAUUUGUGAAAUCCAGAAAAGAAUGAAACUCUCUCAAUACAAACAAUAACAGAAGAUGGAAAUCAUUUCAAAAACGUUUUAGCUAUCUUUCGUUGUUUGAUUGCUAACGUUAGCUCAAAAUGCUAUUGAAGUGACAACCUUUGUUGCGUUUGAUGCUAGCUUGUAGCUAAGCUAGCAGUCAAUACAAAAACAUUUUAGCUAUCUAUGGUUGUUUGAUCGCUAACGUUAGCUCAAAAUGCUAUUCAACUGACAACCUUCGUUAUGUUUGAUGUUACCUUGUAGCCAGCAGCGAACCAACUUUGUUAAGUAGGUCCAUUCUUACUGUAUUGACAUUACAGAAGUGUCUUGUUAGCAUCUUGAAUGCUACUUGUCGCAGUGACGCAUGCCCAACUCACAUCUGCACUCGACUUCCAUCGGGCAGUGACAAUCUCUUUGCAUUAGAUAAGGAAUUUAACCCAGUAAUUCUGUCUAUUAGGGUGCCAUGCGGUCUCAUUGAGGAGCUGAAUCUCUAACACUCAACUCAUGCAGACUAAGUUGUUUCAGACAUCAAAUGAUGCCACAGCCACCCAGUGACAUUGCCUUGAAUGGGCACAGCAGGGCAAUUAGAUUCAUUACAAUAUUACUUUCAUGACAACCUUUCUUUAGGGAAUGGUACCCUCAACCCUGGCAACGUUGCUGCAGUACUAUACAGCUCUUUGUCCCUCCUGUAGUCUCCUUGAUCACUUUCUCCUUCUGGCACGCACAUCUGUUCUGUUUUCCUAAUGAAGAAGAAAGUGAUGGUCCCACCAAGGCUAAUUAGGAGGACUGAGAUGCGGCACGCUGGUAGACUGGUAAUAGAGUCAGGAGGGAAACGCCGACCGCUUAGAGCCCCCACCAGUCCCGGAGCAUCAGACGAGGCAGUGGGGAAAAGGGAUGCCGAGAGAGGAGAUUAAAAAAAAAGACGACCAGAAGAGGAGGAGGAAGAGAGACACAUAGCAUAAUUGAGACUGUAAUGGGUUUUGUCAGAAGCCCCCGUCAGGGUCAAGUUAAAACAAUUUUGGUGAGGGGGUAAGAGAAGGAUGAGAGGAUGGGAAAGGGGAGAAGGGGCCAAUUGGAGUCAGGAUCCCGGCGAGGAGAGGCCCUCGUCCAUGCCAACCUCACCUGAUUGCCAAUUUGUGCCAGUCGACAGACAUCAAACGGCAACGCGAGCCACACGCGGACAACCAAUGAUUUAGGGAGUGCUAACCAGCAAAAAGCACCCACACACAUUCAUUCAGUCACACAUGUGCGAACUCACGCUGACAUCCCACCUCCGCUGGCCGAUUGGACACAUCUAGCCACUUAACAAGGUGUCCACGAUGCAGACCUAAGCCGUGUGAUUGGAAGAUAAAACUGCCACCGUUAAAUAACUAAUUCUCCCCCACGUUAGAUGAAAAUAAGGUGCGGAGCUGAUUAGAUCGCAGCCUCGGAUCCACGCCAUGUUCUUUAAAGCGCCCACCCCCUAACCCCCAACCAAUCCUAUCUUGGUCUGUGUUCUCCUGCCAACCCCAAAUACUCUUAUUUUUGAUGGAAAGGCAAUUCCAAUACCCUCGAGAGUUGAGGUUGAUGCCUAAAGAGGGAUGAAAUUAAGUUGAGUAAAAUGUAUUCUCACCAAAGUUCUCUUUUGGUGCUGUUAAAGUUUUUUUUUCUCAAUUUCAUAGAAAAUGUUGGCUGCCAUCAAACAUUUCUGACUAGCUGAAUAUAAGUCAGGAAAACUGUAAAAACCUUUUCACCUUUACUCACAUGUUUUUGUGAUACACAUCAACAACCACGCUUCUUAAAAAUCACAAGCAAUACUUUAGAUUUGAAAAUCUUCUUGAAAAGAAUGUUCCAUCUGGAUCCGGGGUCUUCAACAUGUUUUAAGCCAAGGACCCCUUCACUGAAAGAGAAAUGGAGCUGGUACCCUACUACAUAUGUUGUAUAAAACAAAUAUUGCAUAUUCAACUGGGCCUACAAUAACGUGCCUGUCGGCUUAAAGCCUUUAGACUUUUUUGUUGCGUAGAAUACUAAGCUAAUAAAAUAUGAUUUGUUGGCAUGAUUUUAUAAAUCAUCUCUUAAUGUUACACAUACAUGCGGCACAGUGAAUCCUUAGGAUUUAACUAUAUUUGUAUGUGGCUUAGUAUGGGGCUUAUAUCUUGGUGACUACCUUACAUGUAAGCCAGUAAGCCUAUCAUCAGUGGGCUUUUAUAUUUGCUAAUAAUGUGUUGGAUUUAUGUUAAGACAUUUUCAUUUUUGGAAAAAACUUUCAAAUAUUUACAAAAAUUUGGAGGCCCCCCCUGCAGUGAUUUUGGGGACCCCCUGCUGAAGAUCUCUGAUCUAGAUGAACAGAAUAACAAUCAGCUGACUUUUGCUGCACAAGGCUGCGGUUGAGGACACUAAGGACAUGUCCUCAGUAUUUGGGAUUUUUAGUAACCUGGGGGAAGGUUACAUUCUACUUCAGCAGCUAUUUUGUAGACUGAAUCAAUAUAUUUAACUGUGACUAGACAAUUCAUUAUUUCCCCACCAGAUGUCUGAUCCUGGCAUUGCACACAAUCAAUGGACAGUAAAAACCAUGAUUAUUUUAGCUUUUUCAGUUAAACUUCACAAUUAAGUGCUUCACGGGCUUGUAAUUAUUGCCCUAGUCGUUAGGAUAAAUAAAUUACUUAAAAACCCUUUGGGUUUUCUGAAAACUGCAUUUUCAAAGCGAAGGAGAUUCUUGGUUUUCACAGAUCAGAAGGACUUCAUGUUGGGAAAUUAAAUGUACAGACAAUGUAACUGAAUGGAUAACUGAAUACAUUACAUUACAGGACCACUCAGAGAUUUAGUAUUGGGGACAUUUUAAAAAAGAAUGGUCAAAGUGGUGGAACCCAAGAUUUGGUCUUCUGAGUUAAGAGCACAAAACAUUGGAUCCUACAAUUCCCAUGAUGCAGCCAAUAGCGUCUUACCAAACUGCCUGCAAUCCAAAUAUCAUCAAGGUUGAUUUCUCAGACUUUAGAAACAGAAAAAAUAUACAUACUUCAGUGCAUUUUCUUGCUUUUAUUUCUGGAAAUACUCACCAGGAGCAAUUCUGAGACAAUUUAUUCAUGAAUUUUGCCGUUUCCAUCCACAUUUUAUAAUGCAAGACUUCAAAAUGCGCAUACAAUUUAUGGAAACAUGACUACUGUUACAGUUUGGUUUGCAGAGCAGUUUUGCUUAAGUGUCAGAAUUGAAUAAGUAAUGAGAACACUUUCUUUAAAAACUAUGCCAGCAAAUGUAUGUACCCAAUGUAUGCUGACAAUGUCCUGGAGUCUUCCGUUUGAGUGGGUUGAAGGUUAAAGGAGAUGUACAUCGAGAU